rnacentral:rRNA from 1 species
UACGUAGGGAGCAAGCGUUGUCCGGAAUCAUUGGGCGUAAAGCGCACGUAGGCGGAUUGCUAAGUCAGGGGUGAAAUCCUGGAGCUCAACUCCAGAACUGCCUUUGAUACUGGCGAUCUCGAGUCCGGGAGAGGUGAGUGGAACUGCGAGUGUAGAGGUGAAAUUCGUAGAUAUUCGCAAGAACACCAGUGGCGAAGGCGGCUCACUGGCCCGGUACUGACGCUGAGGUGCGAAAGCGUGGGGAGCAAACAGG